GUACCCUCAAGCUCUGCUUGGUGUUGGGUGUUUGUCCUCUCCUCUGCGUUUGGACUCGCCUUAAAGCAAUUGGCAGCCAGUGUUUUGGUAUUGAAGCGCAGCACAUUUUGCGAUUCUAGCCGAUAAUACUUGCGUCCAUAAGCCUUUUUUAAC
rnacentral:misc_RNA from 1 species